rnacentral:lncRNA from 1 species
GGAAUACCUGGUGGUUAAAAUAUAGUAAUACGCGUUGCUGCACAGUAGCACGGUAUUGCACAGUAUUUUUGAAUUAUUGAUUGUUACGUAAGAAGGCACUACUCAGUAAUUGUUACAGUAAUUACUAUUCAAUAUUUUAUUUUAUUGGUUCAAUAAUUGUUGCGUUGAUUGUGGCGACCCCAAAUCCAGGUACUUGAAACCCGAACUCGGUUCUCCACGAUACCAUUUCUUUAAGCUGAAUAAUACUAAAUAAUAAUACAUUCGAACUUAAUUUACAUACAUCAAAGUUUACUUCCCCAGGUACGU